rnacentral:rRNA from 1 species
CAGUCGUCGCGGGAAUACGUAGGUGGCAAGCGUUGUCCGGAAUUAUUGGGCGUAAAGGGCUCGCAGGCGGUUUCUUAAGUCUGAUGUGAAAGCCCCCGGCUCAACCGGGGAGGGUCAUUGGAAACUGGGAAACUUGAGUGCAGAAGAGGAGAGUGGAAUUCCACGUGUAGCGGUGAAAUGCGUAGAGAUGUGGAGGAACACCAGUGGCGAAGGCGACUCUCUGGUCUGUAACUGACGCUGAGGAGCGAAAGCGUGGGGAGCGAACAGGAUUAGAUACCCGCGUAGUCCCUGUCUCUUAUAU